UUCAUAUGAUGACAUGCCAUGCUAAUACUGAGGGAUUCAGUUGCUGUUAACUGAAAACCACUGAGUUAAAAUAUUACAUUUCUGAUAAUUAUAAGUUAGAU